rnacentral:rRNA from 1 species
GUGUCCUACGGGAGGCAGCAGUGGGGAAUAUUGCACAAUGGGGGAAACCCUGAUGCAGCAACGCCGCGUGAGUGAAGAAGUAUUUCGGUAUGUAAAGCUCUAUCAGCAGGGAAGAAGAUGACGGUACCUGAGUAAGAAGCCCCGGCUAACUACGUGCCAGCAGCCGCGGUAAUACGUAGGGGGCAAGCGUUAUCCGGAUUUACUGGGUGUAAAGGGAGAGUAGACGGUGAGACAAGUCUGAAGUGAAAGCCCGG